rnacentral:lncRNA from 1 species
GAGAGGUCCACGCUGGGUCCCUCCGACUCAGGGCUGGGAGCAGCUUCCUCAUCUGCAAAGGGAGCAUAAUCAUAGUGUCUAUCCUCCAAGGCUGCUGAGAGGAUGAAAUGAAGGCGGCGGGGGCUGGGUGCAGGAGCCCCCCAGGCAGGGCCCAGAUGUCUCCACUCGCCCUGGCUGUGGGGCCUGAGGCUGAGGGUAGCUGCUCCUAACCAGAACCUUGGAAGGGAACAGAACUAGGGGCCUCAGCCCAAUGCAUCAAAACCGACCAUGUGGGACUCUCAAGGUGCCAUUUAUAUUUAUUUUUUAAAAGGCACUUUCCUCAAGAAUCUUUGCAUUUCUUGCCAAAUGGAUGGGCUGGGUUAUUUCAGCAGCCCAUCUAGAACCAGGGGCUUCCCCGACUGAGGACCUGAGCCAGAACAAAGAAAAGGCCAAGGACUGUAUUUGGAGCCAUAAAAGCCCCAUUAGGACACUAAGAAUAACUUGCAGAAAGGCAUUUUAUAUGAAUUGGACACAAAUUCACAAAAGCGAGGAAGUUCAUUGGUCUCUACCCCGAGGGUCCGCGACUGGGGAAAGGGGUUGGGUGUGAUGCGGGGAGCAGCGCCCAUCCCAUUUGAUCUUUAUCUUAAAUCCACUUCAAAACGCUAGGGAUCUGCGGAGUUGGAGGUUUGCCCCUUCCUGUAAUGAUUUGGUGUCUAGUAAAGUUUUUAUGAGUGUCUG